CAGUGCCCUGUGUGCCCCCAGUUAGAUACAUAUUUUAAAUGAAAAAAAGCUAUGGAGAAGUCUUUACUCUCCCAGACAUCGUGCUAGCAAAAUGAAGUAUUUGCACCAAAUAUUUGCUCCUAUAAUCUACUGAUUUGUACCUGCCAUUUAAUAGUGGCUUCAAACACGGUGGGCAUAUAUUAUCCAGGUAAAAAAGCCUGGGCUCUUUUUUGUUAAUUUGAUUCAUUGAAUAGUAGACAUUUUGGAAGACGCUGUGCAAUAAAGUCAGGUUCUUCUACAGAUUUUGUUGAGAGCUGAAGAAAUACUAUGGUAUAUGGCUUUUGAAGAACAACUUUAUGGUCUGCCAUGGGUCAGAUCCCCCCUACUUUUUCCUUCUGUGUCUGUGUAUAGGGGAGGGGGGGAGAAAGAGGGCCGUGGUAAGAUCAUAUCGUGCAUACUGAAUAUUAGUUACAGACCAGAUUUGUUCCCGCUCUGGGGCUUCAGGGUAGAAAAGAUUUCUCAUUUCUUGCAUUCAUUAUUUUGGCCAGCACCCAUCCCAAGUAGUUGUUUAGAAAACAUAUAAAAUACAGUUAUUAAAUGACAGGAUUUUCUCCAGAACUAUUAUUUCAUGUCUCAAAUAAGUUCCCAUGUGCCUGUGCAUCAAAACCAUGUGCUGUACCAAGCACAUAAAAUAGUUUAAGUCUAAAACACAAAACCACAAACAAGCAACACUAACCAAAACUACAAAGCAAGCCCAGUAUGCAAUAGUUCACAAAUCUUUUUCAUGUAAAAUAUACCAAGUUAUUCAAAAAAGCUAUAGAAGAAAAUGCUAAGAAACUAAAUUAAAAACUCAUAAUUUCCCAGAAUCUGGAGAACCUCCAGAUCUACAAGUCAGUAGAUUGGAGCAGCAAAGAGAGCUUUAAACUGUAUCCUGAUUUCAGCCAUGUGAAGAUGAUGACAAGGGAAACAUUUAAUCUCCCAAAGCCAUUUGAAAGGAAUUAAAAAUAAAUAAAUCUAAAUAGCCUCCCCUGUUUCCAUGAAAAAGGAAAGAUUUUUAUGCAAACCUGUACUUUAUAAUAGAGACAACUGAUAAUGAAGCUUAAAGGCUAAAUUCUGUGGUAGAAAUUUGAGCCAAUCUCUUGAUGUAGCAAUUUACACUAACAGUGUUACACCAAGAGGAUAUGCUCCAAAGCUUUAAAAAAGCCUGAAGUGGGGAGGCCAAUUUUUUGUUCUCAAAUUAGCACCUGCAAAUAAUUACAGGCCCAAUUUUGCAUGUGCAGUCAGGGGGAGAGCUGAAUGCAAUCAUUUUUGGCCACAAUUAUUUUCACCUGCAAAGAUGCAAGUGAGAAGUUGGAGUGCAGAUUUGUAAGUGCAGACUACAGAAUAAAGUUGAGACACACACACACACACGCACACACACGCACGCACACACACACGCAUCUGCUUUUCUUCCUGCACCAAAUAUUUCCUAUUCUCUGCACAAGCUUUCCACAGCUUGACAUCCAGGAAAAUGAAUGGCAAUAAACAGCACAUAAAAUAGUGCUGCAAGGCUUCUUGGAAGAUCCUGAAACUUGUAACCAACCAAAACAUUUUUAUCGGCUCCAUAAGAAUACACAGGCCAAUAAUAAAGCCAUGAUUCACCAGCCAAUCAAAAUCUAAAUGACACCAGCCUUAAAAACAAAUAGCCCAAUCAAAGUAAUAUUGAUGUUGUUUUAAAACAAUAAAUAUUAGCUGUGUCACUGCUUAACAGCUUCGAAGUGCAAUGCACCGUCUGGCUGUCACUUUGGAAAAUCUCUGAAGGAGACUAAAUCAAACAUAUUCUUUCAAUGCUAUUGUAACUUCCAAUCAGUUUUCCUUUGAAAAUGUGUCACGAUUGUAUCUCUAGCACAUUAAAGUUGGUUUGUGUUUUUUAAUUAAAUUUAAUCUUUUGCUUACCCACAAACAUAAAGAUAGCUGUUAUGUCAAUUACUAUGAAUCAUGGAGAAAAAAAAAUAAGAGAAGGGCAUGUAAAGAAGGAGGAAAACUAUGAGUAAAGGUUUAUCCUUUCUUCUGUGCUGCUGCAGCAAUGCCAUGGUUUGCUAGGCUGUAUACUUGGUUCAUUUUUCUUUAGUUCUACACCUGUAGAUAAGAAGAAAUAACCUCUAGGUGGGGAACUAUCUUUGAACACUUCACGGUGUUUCUAGGUCUGGACCCUUCUCACUCUGGGAAUACAGUAAUGUUUGGGACAAAGACAAACAUCUCAGUUUAUAAGGUUACUCAUUGAUUGAGAAGGGUUAAGACAUACAGCUUGCGUCUCUCAAGGUGCUGAAAAACAGGCUCAGUCCAUUGCAAUAUAGUUGUCACAACUAUUUGGCACACCUCAUAUUCCUCAUAAGUGGACCUGACCCUUAGACCACCAGCCUAGUUUCCUGAAUUUUUAUGCGAGUGGAACCACAAGGCCCAGCCAGUGGACAACGUGUCUUCUGGGCUACAGCAUUUGAGCAGUGCAGGGCCGACUUGAUUUGGCGCCUGUGAGAGUUUCCUGUGGGAGGCUUUAACUGAAUUCAUUUGCAAGCAUCUUCAAAAGGAAGUAGUUAUUCAUUGCUUAAAAAGCAACUAGAGUAGAAGAUAAGCCUUUGUCAAGAAUACAUGAUUUGAUGUGUGCAACUGUAGCCAAACAUGGUAAAUCUUCCCCUUCAUCUUCAUGAAGGAGUCAUCCAGCAAGCUUUCUCUAAGGAGGGAUUCCACUUGCACCAAACUGCGAACUACAGAAGACAUCUAAAGACAGCGGCACAUUAUGAUCCCGAAGAUACUUUGGGGCUCUUACAUUGAAUGUCAAUGAGCAGAGACAGUUAACACCUGCUAAAUCAGCCUUUUUCUAUGAAGACCAGCAAUAAAGGAUUCUGGCAGCCUCUCUGCUGUCGAACAGUUUAUGUGAUCUCUAAUCGUUAUUUUGGGAGUGCAGACCUGCAGCUCGAGUGAGACUUGUUGGAAGGGUACAUGGGGAAGUCUGGGUUGCACACCUUGUCUACUACUUUCUACUUUCUGGCAAUGCUGAACGCGCGUCAUAGCUGUUCAUGAAGAGCAAAUAGAAUUUCUUCCAGCAGU